GUACUCGCUUUGGAGGCACAUAUACUAAAAUUGGGACGAUCCAGAGAAGAUUAGCAUGGCCCCAGCUCAAAGAUGACAUGCAAAUUCUUGAAGCAUUCCAUAUUAAA